rnacentral:rRNA from 1 species
UAAUACCGGAUAGAUCAAAGAUACUGGAAUGUUCCUUGAUCCAAAGCUCCGGCGUCCAAGGAUGGAUCUGCGGCCUAUCAGGUAGUAGUGGGUGUAACGUACCUACUAGCCUACGACGAGUACGGGUUGUGAGAGCAAGAGCCCGGAGAUGGAUUCUGAGACAUGAAUCCAGGCCCUACGGGGCGCAGCAGGCGCGAAAUCUUUACAAUGCAGGAAACUGCGAUAAGGGGACCCCGAGUGCCAGCAUCUAAUGCUGGCUGUCCAGCUGUGUAAAUAGCAGUUGUUAGCAAGGGCCGGGCAAGACCGGUGCCAGCCGCCGCGGUAACACCGGCGGCCCGAGUGGUAACCGAUUUUAUUGGGUUUAAAGGGUCCGUAGCCGGCCUGUUAAGUCUCUUGGGAAAUCUGGCGGCUCAAUCGUCAGGCGUUC